CAAACCCUCGCUGACCCUCUCCCUCCCAUCAAAUCAGGUAUGAGCUGAUCUGGAUCUUCCAUCGCUGACCUAUAGCCACCGAGCUCCUUCCCCAACCACUUCACCGUCUCCGCUGCCUCCAUCUCCGGCCUCUACAUCGCCAUCAAAAUAGCCUCGAUGUCGAACCCAGAAGCCCUCCAUCUCCACCCUCCAUUGCGCUGACCCUCUUCCUCCAAAACAAAAACAUAAACCCAUCAUUGCCAUAACCACCAUCAGAGCCGAACCCACAAGCCCAAACCUCUUCCUCUUCCUCUUCUCCAUAUGGGUUUGUGAUCGAAGAGACAGAUGGGUCACUGAACCAACCGACAGUGGUGGUUGAAGAAAAGAAGCUGAAUCGGAUGGCUGAGCUCGCUGCUUCGACUGGUGGAGCUUUGGGACUCGCUGUGCUUUGUAACAAAGCUCACUCACUCUAAACUCUCCCUCUCUCUCUCUCUCUCUCUAAAACCCUCCCCAAACCCUAGCCUCCUCCUCUCUCUCUCUCUCUUGCUUCCAUGGAGUUUUGGGAUAUAUUUACUGAUAAUUGAGGCUGCCCUUGCUGCAUAAUACUUUGAGAAUUUACAGCCACAUGACAAGGAAGUAAAAAAAAGUGAAUUUGUUUUGCUAGGAAGUGAAAAGAACAUUAAAGACCAUCAUACUUUGAGCGAGAAUAAGUUAAUAACCAUUGGUAAAGAGAAUAAGUUCAUUGCAGUGAGAGUUGGUGCGAGUGACUCAGUGAAACCUCAAGAAAUGGCUGGUAAUGAUGGCCAAGACCCUUGCAUAAAUAAAAUUUCGUCUGCAAUCCGAGUCAUCCCUGACUUUCCUAAGCCAGGUUGAGGUGUUGUUCGAAUUAAUUAAAGGGCUCAUCAAGGACAUGGAUGGAACUGUUGCGGAUGAGCUUGAAGAGGAGGAUUUUAACGAAGAACAAAAUUCUGUUGCUCGGCUCAUUCACAUGCUUUAUAAUGAUGACCCAGAGGAAUUGUUAAAGUUGAUAAGACAAUUACAAGGUCAAGAUGGGGAUAUAGCGGGAGAGGAAGUGCCUACAACUCCAAAGAAAAUUUUUCAGAUAUUAAAUGAGGAUUCAAAGUUAAUAUGAUCAAACAUCCUAAAGGUAUUGAGAUACGGAGAUAGAGAUCGGCGCUACUCCGAUGAAAGGUACAACACAGGUAUUUUGCAAGAAGAGUUGUUGCAUCAAACUAAGAGAUUUGCUAUAGUUCUUUAGCUCGAUGGUGUUUCUAGUUCUGGUGAGUUGGUUCUAUCCACUGUGUAUCUAUUGUUUGAAUUACCUUUGUUUAGACAGAUUUAUAACAUUCACCAGGUGUUCUCAAGAAACAUUGCUGGAUAAAGCUAACAGGAAAAUUAGGCUUUGCAAAAUCUUGGACUAGGAGUUUAGCCGUUGUAGAUGAUAACGGUUUUGAGUAUAAUGAUAUUACUAUAUAUAAGGGCCAAUUCUAUGUAACUAUUGACUAUCAUUCACAUGGGCAACAAAGCUCUACACCAACUUUGACAUUCCAAAAGUCAUAAAGGAAAUUAUGCCAAAAGGACCUCCUAAAGGAUUGGAUGGAUAACUUUCUUACAUAAUAGAAAAAGAGUUGCUGAAAUAGAAGACUUGGAAGCAUAAAAAGUGCUUAAGAAUCAUGCACCAAGUUCUAUUCUUCAUACCCUUUUCUUAUUUACUUAAUUUUCUGUUUUAUUUCAGAUUAUGAGAGAUUUAAUUUUCUAUAUUUAGGCUAUGGUUUUGUAAUCUGAGCAUCCUAAGACUCAUAUAUCAACAUGAAUUUAAGUUUUGUAAUAUAUGUGAUUCUAAUUUUGAACUCAGUUAUAAUUAUAGAUUAUAAUUCAUUUGUCUUUGUUAGAUUGUUGCACUGUUCAGUGCAGCCUUAUUUUGGAAAUACAAGAUUGAUGAAAAUUGAGAA